rnacentral:rRNA from 1 species
AGGAGUGGCGAACCGCUCAGUAACACGUUGACAACUUACCCUCAGGACGGAGACAACCACGGGAAAAUCGAUGUCCCCGACAUCGGUCCCGAAACUGUGGCUAAUCUCCGAUAGACGGCGCCGCCUGGAAUGGUCCGUCGUCCAAAGCCAACUCUGCAUGUAGAGUGCGCGCCUGAGGAUGGGUCAGCGGCUGAUUAGGUUGUUGGUGGGGUAACGGCCCACCAAGCCAUCGAUCAGUACCGGCCGUGAAAGCGGGAACCGGGAGAUGGGCACUGAGACAAAGGCCCAGGCCCUACGGGGCGCAGCAAUCGCGAAACCUCUGCAAUCCGGGCAACCGGGACAGGGUUAUCCCUAGUGCCAUGCAAACGUGUGGCUUUUGCCGACAGUAGGAACGUCGGAUAAUAAGGGGAGGGCAAGGCUGGUGCCAGCCGCCGCGGUAAAACCAGCUCCUCAAGUGGUCGGGAUGAUUAUUGGGCCUAAAGCAUUC